GGACAUCGUCACCAAACUGGACAAACGAGAGAUCAAGACCAACUACGUGAAUCCCAUCUACAUGAUCUUUGUCAUCAUCGCUGUUGUUCUCCUUCUUGUAACCAUCGUCUGUGCGGCUGGAUUCUGCCUGUGUAAGAAGAGAAAUGCCAAACGCCCUCCAUCCCCGGUAAACGACCCGGCUGUGCAACAAAUGAUGCUUCCAAAUCAAAAUACCUGAAAGACAAAGAGAGGACCCUGAACCCAGUUUACGGGUACGUUCUGCACUGAAACAAGGAGCAGACCGACACGCUCUCCUCAGAAUUCAUUGGCUCUCAUCGUAUCAGACAUGAAGUGAUCAGAGUUGGGAAUUUAAAUUUAAAUCUUUGAAAUACAAAGAAAACGAGUUUGAAAAAGAGUUGACAAAUGCUUUACAAAUCUUCUUUAGGGUUGUUUGGUGACGUUAGUUUCAAAUAUAAAAAGCUUUUCCGCUGAUAAAAGACGCUUAAAUAAAUUUAAUGAAAACUUGAUGAUUUAUUUUUGUCACCUGGAGAGAAGAGAAUCAGAAGAUGAAUCUAUGACGGCAUCACGCCGCUCUUCAUGUGUUGAAGAAAGAUUUGUGUGUUGAUCUAAAAUCCAUCAUAGUUGGAUUUUUUACUUCUGGUGUUCGGAGCUUUGUGCUAAAACAAAUGUUGGUGAUAAAUACGUUAAUAAAGACACACACACACACACACACACACACACACACACACACACACACACACA